rnacentral:rRNA from 1 species
CACCAGCGCCACGAGUGGGAACCGAUUUUAUUGGGUCUAAAGCGUCCGUAGCCGGUCAGGUAAAUUUCCUGUGAAAUUGUUGGGCCUAACUCAACAGCGUGCGGGAAAGACUGCUUGACUAGGGACCAGGAGAGGCCAGAGGUAUUCCCAGGGGAGCGGUAAAAUGUUAUAAUCCUGGGAGGACCACCGAUGGCGAAGGCAUCUGGCUAGAAUGGAUCUGACGGUGAGGGACGAAAGCUAGGGGAGCGAUCCGGAUUAGAUACCCUCGUA